CACGGGGUUGCGAGCGUUGUCCGGAAUUACUAGGCGUAAAGGGCAGGCGGGCGGAUCCAUAAGUUUAUCGUUUAAGGCGUCGGCUUAACCGGCGUAGGGCGGUAGAUACUGUGGAUCUGGAAUGCGGUUGGGGAAGACAGAAUUCCUGGUGUAGCGGUGGAAUGCGCAGAGAUCAGGAGGAAUACCGAAGGCGAAGGCAGUCUUCCAAGCCGUUAUUGACGCUCAACUGCGAAGGUGUGGGUAUCAAACAGGAUUAGAUACCCUGGUAGUCCCUGAG
rnacentral:rRNA from 1 species